AUACAAGGCAGAUCACAUGAGGGCCGAAAGGAAAAUGAAUAUUACAGACAAGUCCCUGACUUUUGUGAAGAGGACCUGCAUAGAGAUAGAAAAACACAAUCGGGUCCAAACCAUCUUCUCGGCUUCGCCAUCGUCGGGGACUACGCCACUUGGGACGUUGGUUCUCCACAACUCCUCUUCCAAUAGCCAGAUAUGUCGGAGAAAGAAGCCAUGGACGUCGAGUUGAAGAUGCACUGCGUCCCCUUAGGUACCCAGGCCGGGAGGAAUAACUUUGAUCGACUUUUGGUUAGAAGGAUCAAAGGCGCAGCCAUGAAGGCCGUGUUGGGACAUACCCCGAACCAGCUCUCUCUCUUUCACUCGCAUAGACAAAGGUAAAAGAAGGAGCCCACUGAUUUUUUCAGGCGACGAACACCAUGCCGCACGAACGACGCUUUCUUUUCCUUUUGAGCACAAACUCGACUUGAUGGCACAUACCGCACACAACAUCACACCGCCCAGCCCUCAUGCUGUGCACACACACGCACAACCUAACUAAUCAAGUCCUACAUGCAUGCACGUCUAGCAAUUUGCAGCUCCACUAACGGCCAACUAAUCAAGUCAUACAUGCAUGCACGUCCAGCAAUUUUGCAGCUCCACUAACGGCCACACGACGUAGCUAUGCAUGUAGCUUACUAAGUGUCUCAUUCACACACAACGCCCGCUAACUAACCUCAUUCAGCUAACAACCGCAUGUCAAAAUUACUACUAACAUUUUCUCUCCUAAUUCUGACUUGUCGUUGCCGGAGUUGUUGCAGCAACAGUUGUCGUCGUUGCCAUGGCCGCCGCUACGGCCACCACCUUCUAGCCUCUUCCUCAGCAACAUAUGCCGAGCUCCUUCGCCGGUGACACGCCUCACGUUCCUCGGCGACAAACGCUUGGCUCCUUUUCCCACCGGCGUCACAUGCCCGGCGUUCCGGCGACAUACGCGAUCUCCUCCGGCUCCGACAACACAUAUUGUUGACAGCCGCAGCGCCGCGCAUCUCCUCAGGCUCACACACGGCCCUGAGAUUCAUCGCGUAGCCGCUGGCAAACGCCGCCAUCGCCGGCACGCCUUCGGCAGAGGGAAUGACGCCCAAGACAACCAAGCUCAUGAUACCAAAUGUUGGGACAUACCCGGAACCAGCUCUCUCUCUCACUCACACAGACAAAGGUGAAAGAAGGAGCACACUGAUUUUUUCAGGCGAUGAACACCAUGCCGCACGAACGACGAUUUCUUUAACUUUUGAGCACAAACUUGACUUGAUGGCACAUACCACACACGGUAGCUCUCGCUGCAUGACUACAUCACACUGCCCAACCCUCAUGCUGCACACACAACUCUGGACCCUAUCCUCUUAAGUAGACCCACGCACACACGCACAACCUAACUAAUCAAGUCCUACAUGCAUGC
rnacentral:lncRNA from 1 species